AGUGAACGCUGGCGGUAGGCCCAACACAUGCAAGUCGAACGGCAGCACAGUAAGAGCUUGCUCUUACGGGUGGCGAGUGGCGGACGGGUGAGGAAUGCAUCGGAAUCUACUUUUUCGUGGGGGAUAACGUAGGGAAACUUACGCUAAUACCGCAUACGACCUACGGGUGAAAGCAGGGGAUCUUCGGACCUUGCGCGAUUGAAUGAGCCGAUGUCGGAUUAGCUAGUUGGCGGGGUAAAGGCCCACCAAGGCGACGAUCCGUAGCUGGUCUGAGAGGAUGAUCAGCCACACUGGAACUGAGACACGGUCCAGACUCCUACGGGAGGCAGCAGUGGGGAAUAUUGGACAAUGGGCGCAAGCCUGAUCCAGCCAUACCGCGUGGGUGAAGAAGGCCUUCGGGUUGUAAAGCCCUUUUGUUGGGAAAGAAAAGCAGCAGGUUAAUACCCCGCUGUUCUGACGGUACCCAAAGAAUAAGCACCGGCUAACUUCGUG
rnacentral:rRNA from 1 species